UGGUGGUGGUAGGGAUUGAGCAGGCAGCAACCGUGGUGGGGUUAUUUUAUCUGUUACGGAUUUCAUGCUCCGUGUUUCGAUUGAAGGUGCGGCUUUUUGGGUUUCAUUUCGUCUUCCACAUGAUCGUCCUUCGGUUUUCCUAGUUGUAAGUGUUGGUAAUCAUGAUUGUGAAGUAAUACUUUUGUGAUAUCUGACAAGAGGUGAAGAACCCUAAUUAGAGAAAGAGAGAGAUUGGAUUACGG